UCUCCGUUGGUGAACCAGCGGAGGGAUCAUUACCGAGCUUACAACUCCCAAACCCAAUGUGAACCAUUCCAAACUGUUGCCUCGGCGGGGUCACGCCCCGGGUGCGUCGCAGCCCCGGAACCAGGCGCCCGCCGGAGGGACCAACCAAACUCUUUCUGUAGUCCCCUCGCGGACGUUAUUUUUACAGCUCUGAGCAAAAAUUCAAAAUGAAUCAAAACUUUCAACAACGGAUCUCUUGGUUCUG
rnacentral:misc_RNA from 1 species